GAGUGAGUGUCUCUGCGGCUGGCCCGGCCGGGCUGGCCCUGCGUCUACCCGGCUGUCAAACUGGUGCUGGGCACCUUUGCCGUCCUCCCGGCUUGGGAUGGGAUGGGGAGGGCUGGAUCCGCGGCAUGGGGUUGGGGAGAGGUGAUGGGGACAGAGCGAAGAGCAUCAGCGCUAGGGACGGUGGCAAAGAUGGGACCGUGAGGAUGGAGACCGUAGCGGGGAUAGUGAUAGGGAUGAGAAUAAUGCGGGGGAUGAGAAUGGGACCGCUGCUCCGGCCCCUCCGCAGAGCCCAGCGCGACGCGACGCCAAGAGUUAAAGGGGCUUGUCCAGCCGCAUCACCAGGCGGCCGCGGACAUUAGCAUGGAAAUGAGGAGCUUCGGGGACUGACGGCCAUUGUGCUCUGCCGGGCACACCAGCCUCCCCCUAGCCCGCAUCCUUUCUCCCCCCGCACCUUCUCCGGGCUUCUACGCUUCAGCCGGGGCUGCUGUAGAGGAGGGGGAGCCGGGGGGCUGACGACGGGGCCGAAACCCGCCGGGCUCCGCAACCCAUCUGCCGGGUCCCCGCGGUGCGCUGCCACCCGCAUUUCUUGGGCCGGGCGGGGGAAGGGUGCCCGGUGUGCCGCAGGUCGCAGCCCGGGGAGGUGGCCGAGGGCACGGCCGGGAGAGAGGCAGGAGACACAGGGCCCUCAGUUCGACCCUUUUGUCCCCGCUCUUUGCCACCGCCCAGGCCGGCAUUGGUAGGAGGUGGCAGAUGGCCGGUGGCAGAGGCGGCCCCAGGACCCUUGGGAACCGCGCCGAGCAUCGGUUUAAGCUUGUCCUUCCCCACCCCCAUCCACUGGUUUAAAAAAAAAAUAGGGUCCAUGGAAAGAAAAGGACGGGGGGUGACGGGAUGUGGGUUGCGACACCAAAUUCUGUUUACAUAGGCGGAAAGAUAAAGGGGGUGCGCAUAGAGGGCAUCCGUUCAUCCAGGGCUCUCAUCUAUCUUCAGGGAGAGGGGCUGGCAUCAACAGUCAGUGCUGCUCAGUACCGGCCCCGGGAGGAGCAGCCUCCCGUGCUGCUGCAGGUGCACUCCCGGCUGGCUCUUCCAUCGCUGUGCUCUUGCUGCUGCUUGCUUUGAAAUCCCAAAGGCUUCCCCUUGCCCUGCCACCUCUCCCUGCUCACCAACACAAGCACACACUCACUCACCCACAAGCUCCUCCCUCUCCUCCGAACCACAACAUCCUCCCCGAGGUGCGGGCUCUCCCGCUGCUCUUAGAUCAACCCUUACCCCAUGUCAUCCCCAAGGCUUCUCUACGGGCAGCAAAAGCUGAAGGGCCGCUCUUAGGAUUUCUGUUUAUUCUGAUUUACUGCGCAGGCACGGGUGGCUGAGGGCCCUCUGGAAAGGUUCUGUUUCUUAAACACUGGGAGGAGGGGGGGUGGGGGUGGAAGUCGUGGGGAGAGCAACAGCAACAACACUCCGGGGGCGUAUAUGGCAUUAUAGUGCAUCAGUGUAGGCUGUGGUAAGGGAAGGAAACACAUUCAUUUCAUUCCCGUAAACCUGUUGUGAUAAAUACAGCAUAAGGCAGAGCAAAGAAGGGGGGCCGCUGGGACUGUUUACCAAUAAAAGAGCUGGCAUCUUUUCAGUGCCGUUUUUUGUUUUGCUCCGUUUUGUUAACAGCAGCCUUCGAAGAAAAAUACGUAUUUAUUUGCGGAUGGAUCGGUUUUACCGGUAAAUCCCGGCAAAUCGCAGCACCUCGCUUCCAGUCUCCAGCAUCCUGUAAUCCUUUUUUUUCUCCCCCUUUUCUGGGCCAUUGUUGGGAGCAGCCCCCAUCCCUUUUGUUGCACGGUCUCUCUCGCGAUGCUUUGGGUUUUCGCUGCCGGUUCUGUGUGUGAGGGGCAGCGGUUGUAGGGCCGGGGGCUACAGCUGCCCCUCGGCGGCUCUUCUCCGGGCCGGGUCCGGGAAUCGCCGUUUCCUGUCCCAGAAGGGGGCCCACGGGGCCGUUCCGCCCAUUUAUUCUUUGGCGUGGGAGUUCUCCCCCGCAACGCCCCGGGGCUCAUGGGGAGGAAUUGAGGCGACUCCUGAGAGCUGCACCCCCACGUUUAUUUAAAUCGAGUUGGCGAAUAUUUGAAAUCUUGUCGGGGAUUUUUAUUCCUCUCUUUUUCUCUCUCUGUCUCUUUUGAAAUGUUAUUUUUUUUUUUAUUUUAUUUUAUUAUAUUUUAUUUUUUAAAGCGUUGUCAGCACGCAGAUAUCGGGCCACAAAAUGCCCCCGUGCACCACAGCCCGGUUCGGUCCGUGCCAAAGAGGUCCGGGGCCGCUGGGGCCGCCCGCACCGAGCAGGGCUGCAGCGAGAGGAGGACAGGAGCAGGGCCGGGGUUUCGCCGCGGCCACAGCUCAGCCAAGCUGUUGUUUUAAAGGAGCAAUAAAAAUGAAUUAUGACUAAACGCCUUCUCACUUAAUGGUUUUAGACGGGGAUCCCCAGCCCCGGCAAAUACGUAAGAGGAUUUUUAUUUGUGCAUGUGUUCCUGCAAUUGAUCUCUUUGAUGACAUUCUCAUUCAUAGAAAGCGUUUGAUUUAUGACUUUAGGAAGAAUUGCGUUCAGCCCUUCCAGCUAUAACCCACGCAUCCCGGCUCCACAACGCGGUGCAGAGCUGCGAGACGGCUCUCCGCGCUCGGACGGGCAGCGCUGUGCCAUUCCCAGGCCCCCGCUCUAACUCGCACUGGGUCCCCACGCACGGAGCCGCGGCCGCCGCCCCCCUCGCCCCCCGUGGGAGCCCUCAUUCGCGUCCCAAGGAGGGGAUUCGCCCCGCUCGGGCCCGGCCACGCUUCUGCCCGCGGUGUACCCGGCGCUGCACAGCGAAUGGGGACCUGGAGGAAACCGCAGCUCGGGAGUAAAAGCUUUCCCUUUCGGGUAGCCCCGCAGGAAGGCUUUGAACAGAAAAUAUCGUCUUCUACGCACCCUCACCGCCCCCAAAAAGGACAGAGAGGAGGGGCAGAUCUCCCGGACGACUCAGCGCGGGAGGACCCAUCGAACACACUCUGAGCUCAGACUUUGUAAGGUUUCCAGCCAGCCUGCUGGCUGCUCGUUAUGGUCGAGAACAAAAUAUGAUGUCCGAAAAGAAAAAGAAAGAAACGGGGGGAAGGGGGGGGGAGGGGGGGGAAGAGAGAGAGAGGAAAAAAAAGCCUUUGGUGAAUGUACCAGGCUCGUUUCUGCAGGAGACACGCACCCUCCUGACUGUGCCCCUCGUUUUGUCUGUAACAGAGAAAGCUCUCCCUUACGCCUUUGUUAGAGUUGAGCAUUCCCAAGCUCCGCGUCCGCACUGAGAUGCUAUGGUUAUACACCAAAGGGAAGAAAUGGCCAUAGGAGCUGGGAACUGUAUGGGUUUGUUUGUUUGUCUGUUUCCCCUCCGACGACCCUCGCAAUAAAGAAUUCGAAAGUGU